rnacentral:rRNA from 1 species
AUACCCCAUAGGCCGAGAGGUUAAAGCAGCAAUGCGCUGGAGGAGGUGCUCGUGCCCUAUCAGCUGGUUGUGAGGUAACGGCUCACCAAGGCGACGACGGGUAGCCGGCCUGAGAGGGUGAACGGCCACACUGGAACUGAGAUACGGUCCAGACUCCUACGGGAGGCAGCAGUGGGGGAUAUUGGGCAAUGGGAGGGAUCCUGACCCAGCGACGCCGCGUGAACGAAGACGGCCUUCGGGUUGUAAAGUUCUUUUAUGUGGGAAGAAUUAAGUGACGGUACCACAUGAAUAAGCCCCGGCUAACUACGUGCCAGCAGCCGCGGUAAUACGUAGGGGGCGAGCGUCGUCCGGAAUUACUGGGCGUAAAGGGCACGCAGGCUGUGCUUCAAGUCAGCUGUAAAAGGAUGCGGCUUAACCGUGUUAUGCAGUUGAGACUGAGGUGCUGGAGUACCGGAGAGGCAAGUGGAAUUCCCAGUGUAGCGGUGAAAUGCGUAGAUAUUGGGAAGAACAUCGGUGGCGAAGGCGACUUGCUGGACGGUAACUGACGCUGAGGUGCGAAAGCCAGGGUAGCGAACGGGAUUAGAUACCCCGGUAGUCCUGGCCGUAAACGAUGAAUGCUAGGUGUGCGAGCAGAGAUGUUGGCGUGC